rnacentral:rRNA from 1 species
ACUCCUACGGGGAGGCAGCAGUGGGGAAUAUUGGACAAUGGGGGAAACCCUGAUCCAGCCAUGCCGCGUGUGUGAAGAAGGCCUUCGGGUUGUAAAGCACUUUCAGUGGGGAGGAAAGGUUGUUGGUUAAUACCUAACAGCUGUGACGUUACCCACAGAAGAAGCACCGGCUAACUCCGUGCCAGCAGCCGCGGUAAUACGGAGGGUGCAAGCGUUAAUCGGAAUUACUGGGCGUAAAGCGUGCGCAGGCGGUCUGUUAAGCGAGAUGUGAAAGCCCCGGGCUCAACCUGGGGAACUGCAUUUCGAACUGGCAGACUAGAGUCUUGUAGAGGGGGUUAGAAUUCCGAGGUGUAGCGGUGAAAUGCGUAGAGAUCUGGAGGAAUACCGGUGGCGAAGGCGGCCCCUGGACAAGACUGACGCUCAGGCACGAAAGCGU